rnacentral:rRNA from 1 species
UUCAUUUGACGUUUAGCUGCAGAAGAAGCACCGGCUAACUCCGUGCCAGCAGCCGCGGUAAUACGGAGGGUGCGAGGCGUUAAUCGGAAUUACUGGGCGUAAAGCGCAUGCAGGUGGUUUGUUAAGUCAGGAUGUGAAAGCCCGGGGCUCAAACCUCGGAAAUUGCAUUUUGAAAACUGGCAAACUAGAGUACUGUAGAGGGGGUAGAAUUUCAGGUGUAGCGGUGAAAAUGCGUAGAGAUCUGAAGGAAUACCGGUGGCGAAGGCGGCCCCCUGGACAGAUACUGACACUCAGAUGCGAAAGCGUGGGGAGCAAACAGGAUUAGAUACCCUGGUAG